rnacentral:misc_RNA from 1 species
AAGUCGUAACAAGGUAACCGUAGGUGAACCUGCGGUUGGAUCAUUAAUGUAAACAUUACGUUGCGUCUGCCGAGUGGUGUCCAAGCCACGAAGCAUCGAUGCACAGUCCAUCCCUUCCAGGAUGGCACUGACCAACACCUAUGUGAACUGUUUCUGUCUCUGGCAGUGGGAGUGUGUCCUGCUUUAUUUUAUUGCUGGCUGCAUUCUGUCAACCCUCCUUUGUGAUGGUCGUGGACAAGCUGCCAAAACCCUUCAUUAUACACCUUUUUAUGCUGACAUGUUUUACUAUGUGUAGAACACUCAUUCUAUAACUUUUGGCAACGGAUCUCUUGGCUCUC